rnacentral:rRNA from 1 species
GCCUAGCCCUAAACUUUGAUAGCUACCUUUACAAAGCUAUCCGCCAGAGAACUACUAGCCAGAGCUUAAAACUUAAAGGACUUGGCGGUGCUUUAUAUCCACCUAGGGGAGCCUGUCUCGUAACCGAUGAACCCCGAUAUACCUUACCGUCACUUGCUAAUUCAGUCCAUAUACCACCAUCUUCAGCAAACCCCUAUAGGCACAAAAGUGAGCUUAAUCAUAACCCAUGAAAAAGUUAGGCCGAGGUGUCGCCUACGUGACGGUCAAAGAUGGGCUACAUUUUCUAUUAUAGAACAGACAAACGGAUAUCACUCUGAAAUGGGUGGUUGAAGGCGGAUUUAGUAGUAAACUAAGAAUAGAGAGCUUAAUUGAACAAGGCUAUGAAGCGCGU